UACGGGGGGGGCAAGCGUUGUUCGGAAUUACUGGGCGUAAAGGGUCUGUAGGUGGCUUGCUAAGUCAGACGUGAAAUCCCUCGGCUUAACCGGGGAACUGCGUCUGAUACUGGCGAGCUUGAGUGCAGGAGAGGAACGCGGAAUUCCAGGUGUAGCGGUGAAAUGCGUAGAUAUCGAGAGGAACACCAGUGGCGAAGGCGAGUCCCUGGACAACUCCUGACGCUGAGGCACGAAAGCUAGGGGAGCAAACAGG
rnacentral:rRNA from 1 species